rnacentral:rRNA from 1 species
ACGGGGGGAGCAAGCGUUGUUCGGAAUCACUGGGCGUAAAGGGCGUGUAGGCGGUCAGAUAAGUGGGGUGUGAAAUCCCUCGGCUCAACUGAGGAACUGCCUUUGAAACUGUCGGGCUUGAGGCCGGGAGGGGGUAGCGGAAUUCCCAGUGUAGCGGCGAAAUGCGUAGAUAUUGGGAGGAACACCGGUGGCGAAGGCGGCUACCUGGACCGGUUCUGACGCUGAUGCGCGAAAGCGUGGGGAGCAAACAGGA